rnacentral:rRNA from 1 species
GGACCGAACCGACUAAUGUUGAAAAAUUAGCGGAUGACCUGUGGCUGGGGGUGAAAGGCCAAUCAAACCGGGAGAUAGCUGGUUCUCCCCGAAAGCUAUUUAGGUAGCGCCUCGUGAAUUCAUCUCCGGGGGUAGAGCACUGUUUCGGCUAGGGGGCCAUCCCGGCUUACCAACCCGAUGCAAACUGCGAAUACCGGAGAAUGUUAUCACGGGAGACACACGGCGGGUGCUAACGUCCGUCGUGAAGAGGGAAACAACCCAGACCGCCAGCUAAGGUCCCAAAGUCAUGGUUAAGUGGGAAACGAUGUGGGAAGGCCCAGACAGCCAGGAUGUUGGCUUAGAAGCAGCCAUCAUUUAAAGAAAGCGUAAUAGCUCACUGGUCGAGUCGGCCUGCGCGGAAGAUGUAACGGGGCUAAACCAUGCACCGAAGCUGCGGCAGCGACGCUGAUGCGUUGUUGGGUAGGGGAGCGUUCUGUAAGCCUGCGAAGGUGGCCUGUGAGGGUUGCUGGAGGUAUCAGAAGUGCGAAUGCUGACAUAAGUAACGAUAAAGCGGGUGAAAAGCCCGCUCGCCGGAAGACCAAGGGUUCCUGUCCAACGUUAAUCGGGGCAGGGUGAGUCGACCCCUAAGGCGAGGCCGAAAGGCGUAGUCGAUGGGAAACGGGUUAAUAUUCCCGUACUUGGUGUUACUGCGAAGGGGGGACGGAGAAGGCUAUGUUGGCCGGGCGACGGUUGUCCCGGUUUAAGCGUGUAGGUGUGUGUUCCAGGUAAAUCCGGUUCACUUUAACACUGAGGCGUGAUGACGAGGCACUACGGUGCUGAAGCAACAAAUGCCCUGCUUCCAGGAAAAGCCUCUAAGCAUCAGGUAACAUCAAAUCGUACCCCAAACCGACACAGGUGGUCAGGUAGAGAAUACCAAGGCGCUUGAGAGAACUCGGGUGAAGGAACUAGGCAAAAUGGUGCCGUAACUUCGGGAGAAGGCACGCUGACACGUAGGUGAAGUGAUUUACUCAUGGAGCUGAAGUCAGUCGAAGAUACCAGCUGGCUGCAACUGUUUAUUAAAAACACAGCACUGUGCAAACACGAAAGUGGACGUAUACGGUGUGACGCCUGCCCGGUGCCGGAAGGUUAAUUGAUGGGGUCAGCGCAAGCGAAGCUCCUGAUCGAAGCCCCGGUAAACGGCGGCCGUAACUAUAACGGUCCUAAGGUAGCGAAAUUCCUUGUCGGGUAAGUUCCGACCUGCACGAAUGGCGUAAUGAUGGCCAGGCUGUCUCCACCCGAGACUCAGUGAAAUUGAACUCGCUGUGAAGAUGCAGUGUACCCGCGGCAAGACGGAAAGACCCCGUGAACCUUUACUAUAGCUUGACACUGAACAUUGAGCCUUGAUGUGUAGGAUAGGUGGGAGGCUUUGAAGUGUGGACGCCAGUCUGCAUGGAGCCGGCCUUGAAAUACCACCCUUUAAUGUUUGAUGUUCUAACGUGGACCCGUGAUCCGGGUUGCGGACAGUGUCUGGUGGGUAGUUUGACUGGGGCGGUCUCCUCCUAAAGAGUAACGGAGGAGCACGAAGGUUGGCUAAUCCUGGUCGGACAUCAGGAGGUUAGUGCAAUGGCAUAAGCCAGCUUGACUGCGAGCGUGACGGCGCGAGCAGGUGCGAAAGCAGGUCAUAGUGAUCCGGUGGUUCUGAAUGGAAGGGCCAUCGCUCAACGGAUAAAAGGUACUCCGGGGAUAACAGGCUGAUACCGCCCAAGAGUUCAUAUCGACGGCGGUGUUUGGCACCUCGAUGUCGGCUCAUCACAUCCUGGGGCUGAAGUAGGUCCCAAGGGUAUGGCUGUUCGCCAUUUAAAGUGGUACGCGAGCUGGGUUUAGAACGUCGUGAGACAGUUCGGUCCCUAUCUGCCGUGGGCGCUGGAGAACUGAGGGGGGCUGCUCCUAGUACGAGAGGACCGGAGUGGACGCAUCACUGGUGUUCGGGUUGUCAUGCCAAUGGCACUGCCCGGUAGCUAAAUGCGGAAGAGAUAAGUGCUGAAAGCAUCUAAGCACGAAACUUGCCCCGAGAUGAGUUCUCCCUGAGACUUUAGGUCUCCUGAAGGAACGUUGAAGACGACGACGUUGAUAGGCCGGGUGUGUAAGCGCAGCGAUGCGUUGAGCUAACCG